rnacentral:rRNA from 1 species
CCGGAUUAGCCCAAACCAGGUGUUGUUUCGGCAAUACUGGGGUUGUAGGACCACGACAUUGAUUGCGUAAUGAAUUAGAACACUUUGGAAAGAGUGACCGAAGAGGGUGAUAGUCCCGUACAAGUAAAGAGCGUUAAUUAUAGUGGUAUCCUGAGUAGUGCGGGGCACGUGAAACCCUGUAUGAAUCAAGCGGGACCAUCCGUUAAGGCUAAAUACUCCUGAGAGACCGA